CCCUAUUUUAAAAGUAAGUUGUUUUCUUUUAGAAAUUAAAGGGGAGAAAUAGCAAUCAUCCAUCAUCUCGUCAUCUCAGUAUUCAGUUUCCACUACUAAUUCUGGCUGAUAAGUUUCCUUCCCAUCUCUCUUUUUAAGGAAAAAAAAGUCACAUUAAAAAAUAAGUGACACCUGUUCAUUAUAAAGAAUUCAAAACAUGCUGUAAAUUCCCAAAACAGAAAUAAAAAACCAACCCAAAUCCAGCCAGCUGAAAAUAACCAUUAGAAGGGACUUCCUUGGGGGUCCAGUGCUUAAGACUCCUUAUUUCCACUGCAGCAGGCCUGGCUUUGACCCCUUGUCAGGGAGCUAGUACCCUGAGUGCUGCGUGGGGCCAAAAAAAAAAAAAAGACCCAUUAACAUUAGAUGAACAUCAUUUUGAACAACUCCACAAAUACACAAAAACCAGAAGGAAUCACUGCUUGCUGUGAAAGAUGAGCUAACUGGGCCAGACACAUGGGCAUGGGCACACAGUUCUGAAGAUCCUGAAGUCCUUGUGUGUGCCAGUUGGGAGACAUGGGCGGUGGACUCUCUCCCCAGCACUCUCCCCCGUCCUGGCCACCCUGAUCCCACCCCCAGGACCAGUCCCAGCCCCCGUCUCCCCAGGAUCCACAGCUACAGAGCAAAGGGGAACUUGGAUCCUUCUCCCUGAGCCCCCUUCAACACCCUCACCCCAACCCAAAUAGCUUGGUUUUCAUCGGUUUCAUCUGUUUCAGGGGGGUUGAAAGCAGUUGGAAAACCACUCCCCUGGGCUAGCACACAGGCCUUGCAGCUUUGCGUGGUCCCUGAGUUUCAGACAGCAGAGACCUUUCUGCCUAAGCCCAUAUAGCUCAUUAAGAAGUGGAAGAGCAUGUCUGUAAUCACGGUGUAAUUACCUUGCCUCCUAAUUGGUAGCAGACACAGGCCUGCGGGUAUGGAAACUCCCCAGUGAGCUGGCUCCAAACAGAUGAGGCAGAAGGUGCAGGCGGCCAGGAGUGUGUGGAGGCUGAAGGAAGGGGGCGAGCUCUGCUGGAGUUCCGCUCUGGCCGGCCCAGAGCCCAGGCACACUCCUGCACCACAUUCAUCAGAACCAGUUGCCUUAUUCUAUGAAGCCUCCUGAACCCAGCGGCGGUCUCAGCUCCAUUCCGUGGCUCAGUCGUGUCAGACUCUUCGCAACCCCAUGGCCUGCAGCCCUGUCCAUCACCAACUCCCAGAGCUUGCUCAGACUCAGGUCCAUCGAGUCAGUGAUGCCAUCCAACCAUGGUGACAGUCUAUCACCUGUUGAUUCCACUCUGGACCCUCAGGGAACAGAGCCCAGUGAGCCGGGACCAGGGAGGAAGCUGUCGUUGGCCACAGAGGGGUGAGAUCUGUGCUGGCAAGUGUGAGGGGCAACGGUGAGCAGGAGCAGCCUGCCUGGCUCUCCAGUCUCCAGUCUCUCCUGAUGCAGCAGGGACCGGCGUCCCCUGGUGGCUGGUGCUCUUUACUGCAGAAGGUUUUCACCAAUGAAUGACGACCUUGGCCAGAUAUCCUCAUUUCAUAGGUCUCCGACUGCAUUUCACUCUAGAGGAAGACGCUGCAAACAAAGCACUGUGGGGGGCAGUCACUUGCAGAAACAGCAACGGAGGAGGAGGAGUGAAGAUGCUCAGGGGAGGCUUCUUGGAGGAAGGGAGCUGGAGAUGUCUCUGGAGACAGUGGCCUCAUAUCCCAUGACUUGGUUUAUAUGCCCUCAGAGGUGUCCCAUGUGGUCGGUUUAUUGUUAACCUGAUUUGUGAGUAUUGGUUUUGUCUGGCUGGCUGAAUUUUGAAGGAGAUUCAACAAAAUCAGCAACAGUUCUGGUCCUCGGCAGUGAGGGAGCCGGCUGGGCCCCUGCACACACUGGCUCGCUUAAAUCUCCCAGAGCUGUGCAAGGUCGGAGAACCAGCUCCACGGAGCUCCUGGUUCCAAGUGGCAGAGCUGUGCACCAGGAUCUGUGUGAUGCCAAGUCCAUGCUCACGGUCCUCAUCCCUACAGAUGACCUCUGACCAGCUGAGCCCGGCCGGGCAGGGGACAGUCCCCCUCCCCUCCUGUGAGGAUCCAGGAGAGCUGUUCUGUCUAUGAAGCCCUCCAUAUCCCUUGGCUUCACUGUGGAAAACAGUAUGGGAAUUCUUAAAAAAACUAAAUGUAGAUCUACAGACCCCCUUUCUGAGUUUACACCCAAAAUCAUUAAAAGCAGAGACUCG